rnacentral:rRNA from 1 species
GAUGAACGCUGGCGGCGUGCUUAACACAUGCAAGUCGAACGGAAAGGCCCAAGCUUGCUUGGGUACUCGAGUGGCGAACGGGUGAGUAACACGUGGGUGAUCUGCCCUGCACUUCGGGAUAAGCCUGGGAAACUGGGUCUAAUACCGGAUAGGACCACAUUUUGGAUGGUGUGGUGGAAAGUUUUUCGGUGUGGGAUGAGCUCGCGGCCUAUCAGCUUGUUGGUGGGGUAAUGGCCUACCAAGGCGUCGACGGGUAGCCGGCCUGAGAGGGUGUACGGCCACAUUGGGACUGAGAGACGGCCCAGACUCCUACGGGAGGCAGCAGUGGGGAAGAUUGAACAAUGGGCGCAAGCCUGAUGCAGCGACGCCGCGUGGGGGAUGACGGCCUUCGGGUUGUAAACUCCUUUCGCUAGGGACGAAGCGUUAUGUGACGGUACCUGGAGAAGAAGCACCGGCUAACUACGUG